rnacentral:rRNA from 1 species
GUAAACGAUGAAUACUCGCUGUUUGCGAUAUACAGUAAGCGGCCAAGCGAAAGCAUUAAGUAUUCCACCUGGGGAGUACGCCGGCAACGGUGAAACUCAAAGGAAUUGACGGGGGCCCGCACAAGCGGAGGAACAUGUGGUUUAAUUCGAUGAUACGCGAGGAACCUUACCCGGGCUUGAAUUGCAGAGGAAUAUAGUUGAAAGAUUAUAGCCGCAAGGUCUCUGUGAAGGUGCUGCAUGGUUGUCGUCAGCUCGUGCCGUGAGGUGUCGGCUUAAGUGCCAUAACGAGCGCAACCCUUAUCAUUAGUUACUAACAGGUCAUGCUGAGGACUCUAGUGAGACUGCCGUCAUAAGAUGUGAGGAAGGUGGGGAUGACGUCAAAUCAGCACGGCCCUUACGUCCGGGGCUACACACGUGUUACAAUGGGGGGUACAGAGGGCAGCUACCGGGCGACCGGAUGCCAAUCCCAAAAACCUCUCUCAGUUCGGAU